GUGGGGAAUUUUGGACAAUGGGCGCAAGCCUGAUCCAGCAAUGUCGCGUGCAGGAAGAAGGCCUUCGGGUUGUAAACUGCUUUUGUACGGAACGAAACGGUCCGGGUUAAUACCCUGGGCUAAUGACGGUACCGUAAGAAUAAGCACCGGCUAACUACGUGCCAGCAGCCGCGGUAAUACGUAGGGUGCAAGCGUUAAUCGGAAUUACUGGGCGUAAAGCGUGCGCAGGCGGUUUUGUAAGACAGGCGUGAAAUCCCCGGGCUCAACCUGGGAAUUGCGCUUGGGACUGCAAGGCUGGAGUGCGGCAGAGGGGGAUGGAAUUCCGCGUGUAGCAGUGAAAUGCGUAGAUAUGCGGAGGAACACCGAUGGCGAAGGCAAUCCCCUGGGCCUGCACUGACGCUCAUGCACGAAAGCGUGGGGAGCAAACAGGAUUAGAAACCCCUGUAGUCC
rnacentral:rRNA from 1 species